UCCCCUGUAGCUCAGCUGGCAGAGCAAGUGGCUGUUAACCACUGGGUCAGGUGUUCGAAUCACCUCGGGGGAGCUA
rnacentral:tRNA from 2 species